rnacentral:rRNA from 1 species
AUUGAACGCUAACGGCGUGCUUAACACAUGCAAGUCGAGCGGCAGCACAGUAGUAGCAAUACUAUGGGCGGCGAGCGGCGGACGGGUGAGUAAUACAUAGGAAUCUGCCUUAUAGUGGGGGAUAACCCGGGGAAACUCGGGCUAAUACCGCAUAAUCUCUACGGAGAAAAGUAUGGGACCUUCGGGCCAUAAGCCAAAAGAUGAGCCUAUGUUGGAUUAGCUAGUUGGUAGGGUAAAGGCCUACCAAGGCAACGAUCCAUAGCUGGUCUGAGAGGAUGAUCAGCCACACUGGGACUGAGACACGGCCCAGACUCCUACGGGAGGCAGCAGUGGGGAAUAUUGGACAAUGGGCGCAAGCCUGAUCCAGCAACGCCGUGUGUGUGAAGAAGGCCUUAGGGUUGUAAAGCACUUUUAGUGGGGAAGAAAAGUUCAUGGCUAAUAUCCAUGAAUGCUGACGUUACCCACAGAAAAAGCACUGGCUAACUCUGUGCCAGCCGCCGCCGUAA